UACGUAGGUGGCAAGCGUUGUCCGGAAUUAUUGGGCGUAAAGCGCGCGCAGGCGGUCCUUUAAGUCUGAUGUGAAAGCCCACGGCUCAACCGUGGAGGGUCAUUGGAAACUGGGGGACUUGAGUGCAGGAGAGAAGAGUGGAAUUCCACGUGUAGCGGUGAAAUGCGUAGAGAUGUGGAGGAACACCAGUGGCGAAGGCGACUCUCUGGUCUGUAACUGACGCUGAGGCGCGAAAGCGUGGGUAGCGAACAGG
rnacentral:rRNA from 1 species